AUCACCGGGGGAGCUGUUUUGCUGAGAGGUCCCGAAAGGGAUGACCCCUAUCACCUGAUCCGGAUAAUGCCGGCGUAGGAAAGGAGUUUUUUU
rnacentral:ncRNA from 1 species